UACGAAGGCAGCAGUGGGGAAUAUUGCACAAUGGGCGAAAGCCUGAUGCAGCUAUGCCGCGUGUAUGAAGAAGGCCUUAGGGUUGUAAAGUACUUUCAUCGGGGAGGAAAAAACAAAACUAAUAAUUUUAUUUCUUGACGUUACCCGAAAAAGAAGCACCGGCUAACUCCGUGCCAGCAGCCGCGGUAAUACGGAGGGUGCUAGCGUUAAUCAGAAUUACUGGGCGUAAAGAGCACGUAGGUGGUUUUUUUAAGUCAGAUGUGAAAUCCCUGGGCUUAACCUAGGAACUGCAUUUUGAAACUGAAAUACUAGAGUAUCGUAGAGGGAGGUAGAAUUCUAGGUGUAGCGGUGAAAUGCGUAGAUAUCUGGAGGAAUACCUGUGGCGAAAGCGGCCUCCUAAACGAAUACUGACACUGAGGUGCGAAAGCGUGGGGAGCAAACAGGGAUUAGAUAC
rnacentral:rRNA from 1 species